rnacentral:rRNA from 1 species
GACGAACGCUGGCGGCGUGCUUAACACAUGCAAGUCGAACGGGCCUGUCUUCUUUUUUGGGGGUGGGUUGAGUGGCGAACGGGUGAGUAUCACGUGAGUAACCUGCCCUUCGGUCCUGGAUAACCGCUUGAAAGGGCGGCUAAUACGGGGUGGUCCGGUUGGUCCGCAUGGGCUGGUCGGGAUAGAUUCACUGUUUUUGGUGUUUCGGCGGGGGAUGGGCUCGCGGCCUAUCAGCUUGUUGGUGGGGUGAUGGCCUACCAAGGCGGUGACGGGUAGCCGGCCUGAGAGGGUGGGCGGCCAGAGUGGGACUGAGAUACGGCCCAGACUCCUGCGGGAGGCAGCAGUGGGGGGUAUUGCACAAUGGGCGGAAGCCUGAUGCAGCGACGUCGCGUGAGGGAUGGAGGCCUUCGGGUUGUGAACCUCUGUUUCCGGUGGUGAAGGCCCUGUCCGUGUGGUGGGGUUGACGGUAGCCGGGGAUGAAGCGCCGGCUAACUACGUG